rfam:Heligmosomoides polygyrus genome assembly, scaffold: HPBE_scaffold0000312
GCGCCGGUGGUGUAAGGCGUAGCAUCGCUGCCUGGAAAGCAGAAUGUGCGGGUUCGAAUCCCGCCUGGCGCC